GGACUACAGGGGUAUCUAAUCCCGUUCGCUCCCCUGGCUUUCGCACCUCAGCGUCAGUCACUCGCCAGGACACUGCCUUCGCCUUCGGUGUUCCUCCGGAUCUCUACGCAUUUCACCACUCCACCCGGAAUUCCGUGUCCCUCUCGAGUCCUCAAGUCAAACCGUCUUUGGUAUCCUCGGGCAGUUUAGCCACCCGCUGUCACACCAAACGCGUCCGACCGCCUGCAUGCCCUUUACGCCCAGUAACUCCGGACAACGCUCGCCCCCUACGUAUUACCGCGGCUGCUGGCAC
rnacentral:rRNA from 1 species